CCCGUCACCGGUGAUCGUCAUCGGUAUAGGUAACAACAACAACAACAUCAACAACUAUCGUAAUAAUAACAGAGCAAUAACGACAGUAAUAAACAGUCAACCUGUCAAAAAUGUAUUUGUAUAAACUACGGCUUUAAUAGUUUCACGGAAAUUAUUCAAUUUUUACUCGGGCACCAAACAGGAGGUCUUUCAAGUUUAAAAAUCUGAAGAAAUCAUUCAAUGCAAUAACUACUUUAAAGAUCUUGUAUACGACAAAGACCAAGACUAGUCAAGAUCAAUAAGUCAUAUACUCACACUGAUAAGUAACAAUACUAAUAUUUAAAAAGUUAAAUUUUUGUUGUUUUUUUUGCAUAUUUUUGA